UACGAAGGGUGCAACCGUUGCUCGGAAUUAUUGGGCGUAGAGCGCGCGUAGGCGGCUUGGCAAGUCGGAUGUGAAAUCCCUCGGCUCAACCAAGGAAGUGCAUCCGAAACUGCUGAGCUUGAGUACUUAAGAGGAUCGCGGAAUUCCCGGUGUAGAGGUGAAAUUCGUAGAUAUCGGGAGGAACACCAGUGGCGAAGGCGGCGAUCUGGGAAGAUACUGACGCUGAGGUGCGAAAGCGUGGGGAGCAAACAGG
rnacentral:rRNA from 1 species